GCGGAGGGAUCAUUACACAAAUAUGAAGGCGGGCUGGAAUCUCUCGGGGUUACAGCCUUGCUGAAUUAUUCACCCUUGUCUUUUGCGUACUUCUUGUUUCCUUGGUGGGUUCGCCCACCACUAGGACAAACAUAAACCUUUUGUAAUUGCAAUCAGCGUCAGUAACAAAUUAAUAAUUACAACUUUCAACAACGGAUCUCUUGGUUCUGGCAUCGAUGAAGAACGCAGCGAAAUGCGAUAAGUAGUGUGAAUUGCAGAAUUCAGUGAAUCAUCGAAUCUUUGAACGCACAUUGCGCCCUUUGGUAUUCCAAAGGGCAUGCCUGUUCGAGCGUCAUUUGUACCCUCAAGCUUUGCUUGGUGUUGGGCGUCUUGUCUCUAGCUUUGCUGGAGACUCGCCUUAAAGUAAUUGGCAGCCGGCCUACUGGUUUCGGAGCGCAGCACAAGUCGCACUCUCUAUCAGCAAAGGUCUAGCAUCCAUUAAGCCUUUUUUCAACUUUUGACCUCGGAUCAGGUAGGGAUACCCGCUGAACUUAAGCAU
rnacentral:rRNA from 1 species